rnacentral:lncRNA from 1 species
CUAUAGACACUACACCAAAAAUGGUCUAUAGCGAAGGAAAUUUUGUGAAGGAAUUUAUUCCUUCACAUGAGGAGUUGUUUAGCGAAGGAAUGGUUUGGUUUGCGCAAAAGACGAAAGGAAAGACGGGGGCGAGCAAGCCCUCUUUUUCAGGAAAAAAGUAUAGUGACAAUAUAGUUAUUAGCGAAAGAAAUAUCCUUCACAAUUUAUAUUUUUUUUCUCCCAAAAUUGGGGCGAUAGAAAGAUUUUUGGAGCCAAUUUAUGAUGAAAAUUUGUGAGAAAAAAAUCUAUUUAAUGAAGGAAUUAUUACUCACUAUAUAUCAUUAUUCAGAAGUUUUUUGCGAGGGAUAAAAUUAGUCGCUAUCUUGUUCUAAAUAGUUUUUUUUUGAAUUAAUUGUGGUG